rnacentral:rRNA from 1 species
UACGAAGGGGGCUAGCGUUGUUCGGAAUUACUGGGCGUAAAGCGCGCGCAGGCGGCUAUCCAAGUCAGUGGUGAAAGCCCGGAGCUCAACUCCGGAACUGCCAUUGAAACUGUUUAGCUUGAGGACGAGAGAGGUGAGUGGAAUUCCCAGUGUAGAGGUGAAAUUCGUAGAUAUUGGGAAGAACACCGGUGGCGAAGGCGGCUCUCUGGACCGAUACGUGACGCUGAGGCGCGAAAGCGUGGGGAGCAAACAGG